UCCCGGUGCUGGCACGGCGCGAACGUGCACCGUGUACUCGACGGUGGGCACCCACCCGGGGGGCAUAUCGAGGUUGAACACCGCCGGCGGGAAC
rnacentral:tRNA from 2 species